CCGUACGUUCUUACGAAAGUUCGUCUGCAGGCUGCGGCUUCCUCCUAAAUGAGUAAAUGCCAAAUUCGAAGUUUCUCUUUAAAAAAUGCAGAUCUGGCGUAGCUCGUAGGUUUUUUUUCAAAUUGAAGAACAAGUACCUGAUAAGUGAUGAAGUGAAUUUGCAGUUAAAAGUUACUGCUGAAGUUAGGUAUUCUCGGUUUGCUUAUCUUGUUCGUGGUGGUUGGACGAGUGGUUGGAGUCGUUUUCGUUUGUUUCUUCAGGAAUCAGGAUGUCUUACAAUGUUAGAUUGAUCAAACUGGUCGUGUCGACACGAUUUUGAGGGUAUGGCGACCGUAGAACUCCAAAGCCAGAAGAACUCCACCGACAAUAGAACCCCAAUAUUUUAAAUAAGUUUUUAAAAAUUUCUUUGUAUGCGACAGUAGAACUCCAGUAUUCUUAUGUCUUUGGAGUUCUACUGUCUUUGGACUUACGCUGUCGCAUAAUAAGCUGUACAAAUUUCCAAAAUGUCGUCUGUUGCUGCAUUUACCGGCGAAGUGUUGAUCAUCAUUUUUGUUAUCAUUUUAACCCCAAGCCUGGUGAAGUCAGAGCUAGUGAGCUUCUUCAUUGCAGUCCAAUGUGCACAUGGAUUUGUUACAGCUAGCUGGUGAAAGGUGUUCCUCUUGCAGUUGUAGCUUUUGUCACAGGCAUUGAAGUUUAUGUAGUUGCUGUUGCAACUAACAAGCAACAGCCUAUAAUUUCUACGUUGCAAUUUCAUCUGAUCAUGUGGCCUGAGCAGCUGAACAUUUUGCCAAAAUGUCGUCUCUUUUUCCUGUACCAGCUUCACGUUUUUCAGAAUAAUUCAGGAUUAACACCCUGGUGGAGUUUUAGCUUCUUUGUUGCUGCCCAACUUAUACGUGGAUUUGACGCAGCCAGCUGAGGGCUUUAACUCUGUUUCGCGUUUACGUUCGCGUAGUUGCAGUCCGAUGUGGUACGUCGUUGCAGCCCAUGCUGGUGAAACAGCUUUCUACAUCAAAUUCAAUUAGCCGUUCCUUGGUGCUGGUUUCGUGUUACCGAAAUUGCAUGAUUAUAUUGUUAAAUUGUCAUCGUGACUAUGCAGUUUACCGUUAAUAAGUUCAGAAGCAACAAAAACAAAUAUGGGAUAUUUAUGUCAACAAAUAAUAAACAUGUUUCCGGGAUUGGGAAAGGAAAGUGGAGGAUGUUUGAGGGGGGAGGAAGGAUAUUUCAAGUUUGGAUAAAAAUUCAGUUAAUCUAUAACCUUACGAAUGUAUCCCUACCAAUUAAUCUCCAAACCCCCAAAACAUACACCUACCAACUACCAUCCCUUAAAUUUAUACCCUUAACCCUAUAAACCAAUGUUAAACCUUAACCAUGUAAUAUCUAUAAUAAAUAAAAAUAAAUAUAUUAUAUGAACAAAUUUUUAU
rnacentral:lncRNA from 1 species